rnacentral:rRNA from 1 species
CCUACGGGAGGCAGCAGUGGGGAAUAUUGGACAAUGGGCGAAAGCCUGAUCCAGCAAUGCCGCGUGUGUGAAGAAGGCCUGCGGGUUGUAAAGCACUUUCAGUUGGGAAGAAGACUUAGAGGUUAAGAGCUAUUAAGUUUGACAUUACCUUCAGAAGAAGCACCGGCUAACUCUGUGCCAGCAGCCGCGGUAAUACAGAGGGUGCGAGCGUUAAUCGGAAUAACUGGGCGUAAAGGGUGCGUAGGCGGAACGCUAAGUCAGAUGUGAAAUCCCCGGGCUCAACCUGGGAACUGCAUUUGAAACUGGCGAUCUAGAGCAGAGGAGAGGAGAGUAGAAUUUCAGGUGUAGCAGUGAAAUGCGUAGAUAUCUGAAGGAAUACCGGUGGCGAAGGCGGCUCUCUGGUCUCAUGCUGACGCUGAGGCACGACAGCGUGGGGAGCAAACAGGAUUAGAUACCCUGGUAGUCCACGCCGUAAACGAUGAUAACUAGAUGUCAGAGCUAUUAAGGCUUUGGUAUCGAAGCUAACGCAUUAAGUUAUCCGCCUGGGAAGUACGGCCGCAAGGUUGAAACUCAAAUGAAUUGACGG